AUGGCCAUAUCAUAUUGAAACAUUGGUUCUUGUACAGUCACUGAAGUUAAGCAACAUUGAACCUGCUCAGUACAUAGAUGGGUGACCACUUGGGAAUACCAGGUGCUGCAA